UACGAAGGGGGCGGGCGUUGUUCGGAAUUACUGGGCGUAAAGGGCGCGUAGGCGGCGAUCCGAGUCAGAUGUGAAAGUCCUGGGCUUAACCUGGGGACUGCAUUUGAUACUGGAUUGCUUGAAUUCGGGAGAGGAUAGCGGAAUUCCCAGUGUAGAGGUGAAAUUCGUAGAUAUUGGGAAGAACACCGGUGGCGAAGGCGGCUAUCUGGACCGACAUUGACGCUGAGGCGCGAAAGCGUGGGGAGCAAACAGG
rnacentral:rRNA from 1 species